AGUGUGUGUCUGGAACGUAAUGUGUUUAGGAGUGCAGUAUGUGUGUGUAUAUAUAUGUGUGUGUAUAUAUAUAUACACACACAUACUGCACUCCUAAACACAUUACGUUCCAGACA